UGCGGGGUGGUGUAACGGUCGCACGUCAGGCUUUGAACCUGAAAAUGAAGGUUCGACUCCUUCCCCCGCAG
rnacentral:tRNA from 1 species